AAAACUAAACGAAACUAAACUAAUCUGACAGUCUGUCUAAUUUGAAACCUCCCACUCUCAUUACAGGAAACGGAAAUCGCCCGCCGUGGCAAACAACUGCAGAGAGGAGCACAUACACUGUGACAACACAACUACAAAAUACCACAGGGAGCAGCACAUACACUGCGACAACACAACUACAAAAUACCACAGAGAGCAGCACAUACACUGCGACAACACCACUACAAAAUACCACAGAGAGCAGCACAUACACUGCGACAUCACAACUACAAAAUACCACAGGUACCGUAAAGUUGUUCCUUGAAAAUGCAGUAAUAUUUGAAAACUGUGUUGUUGGGGCACAUGAGGACACUUGCUGUGUUUUGCAGCAUCUUUUUUCCAUCCCUAAUGAUCGUGGAAUAAAAGGCUGCACAAGAUUAUUUGUCACUUUGUGCCUGUGCAAACUUAUUAAAAAUCAUUGGCGAGAGAGAUUUAAUCUCAUCCUUCCUCCAGCUCCAUCUAUGUCUCCUCUUGGGAAAUGUAUCCAAUUCUUUUUUGGAAGUUAAUUCUGAAUCAUCUUCCACCACUUUUUCAGUUGUACAGUCCCAAUCUUAAACACGAUUCAAUAAAUAGACUUCAUUUUUUUUUUCCUCUCUGGGUUGAUAAUAUAUUUCAUUGAAUCCAUGAACCCAGACUGCUGACUGAAAGAGUGUUAGAUAGCACUCUUAGGGCUAGUGGAAUCAAGG